GGAUUAGGAUACGAUUCCACCAUUCCUGAUGCUCCAAAUGCAGAAUCACAUCUCUUAACUAAGACAUUAGCUGAGAAAGUUAGUAACCAUGUUGAUCAGUAUUUAGAAGCCAUGGAUAAGGUUAAACUAAAGCAAGGUCUUAGAACUGCAAUGAGCAUUUCUAGUGAGGGAAAUGCAUAUCUACAAGACAGCCAAUUCUGGAAGCUUUACAAGGAAGACCCAGCUUCCUGUUCCAUUGUAAUGAAGACUUCGGUUGGGCUUGUUUAUCUGUUUGCCUAUUUGCUAGAGCCUUUUAUGCCAUCUUUCUCUAUUGCAGUA